UACGUAGGGUGCGAGCGUUAAUCGGAAUUACUGGGCGUAAGCGUGCGCAGGCGGUUUUGUAAGCCAGAUGUGAAAUCCCCGGGCUCAACCUGGGAACUGCAUUUGGGACUGCAAGGCUAGAGUACGGCAGAGGGGGGUAGAAUUCCUGGUGUAGCAGUGAAAUGCGUAGAUAUCAGGAGGAAUACCGAUGGCGAAGGCAGCCUCCUGGGCCAACACUGACGCUCAUGCACGAAAGCGUGGGGAGCAAACAGG
rnacentral:rRNA from 1 species